rnacentral:rRNA from 1 species
GACGAACGCUGGCGGCGUGCUUAACACAUGCAAGUCGAACGGAAAGGCCCUGCUUUUGUGGGGUGCUCGAGUGGCGAACGGGUGAGUAACACGUGAGUAACCUGCCCUGGACUUUGGGAUAACUUCAGGAAACUGGGGCUAAUACCGGAUAGGAGCUCCUGCUGCAUGGUGGGGGUUGGAAAGUUUCGGCGGUUGGGGAUGGACGCGCGGCUUAUCAGCUUGUUGGUUGGGUAGUGGCUUACCAAGGCUUUGACGGGUAGCCGGCCUGAGAGGGUGACCGGCCACAUUGGGACUGAGAUACGGCCCAGACUCCUACGGGCGGCAGCAGUGGGGAAUAUUGCACAAUGGGCGGAAGCCUGAUGCAGCAACGCCGCGUGCGGGAUGACGGCCUCAGGGUUGUAAACCGCUUUCGCAUGUGACGAAGCGUGAGUGACGGUAAUGGGUAAAGAAGCACCGGCUAACUACGUG